rnacentral:sRNA from 1 species
AUUUAUAAGGGUUUUAAAAUUUUUGUGACAACCAAAAUAAAAGCAGGAUCAAUACCUGACUCGAGACAAAAUUUUUGUGAAAUAACGAACUUUCGUUUUAAUUCCGAAUAACUUAAUUAGCUAAAUCACCAUUCCUAAUGUUCUCGUGCUGCGAGCAUCAUACGACUAUUCAAAAAGUUCUUGUAUAAAUUAUAUUCAGCCAUUUUUACCCCUCUUAUCGGAAUUGAUUUGAUUUUUUCCGUACUUAUUUAUAAGUGUUUUAAAAAUUAUGAGUAGAGUCGCAAACAAUGGGCAUUCUUUUAUUUAUUGGAUUAAUGAUCAUUAGCAGCACCACCAUAUAUACGCCCCUAUUUUAAAAGCGUUCCACAAGAUAAUGGGUAUACUAUUUUCCCCAUUGAGUAUGGGAUGACGUAGAUCCAAAAAGACUUCGAUGAGGCAAACCUUAUCAAAAUACCUUCAUUCCUGGUUAGCAAAAAGAAAUUAGAUACUUCGAUGGAGACAAUGCGACUACAAGUAUCAUUAUCUUUAAAGAAUACUAUUGUUUGAUUACAGAAACAUCGAUUUACUA